rnacentral:rRNA from 1 species
UACGUAGGGGGCUAGCGUUGUCCGGAUUUAUUGGGCGUAAAGAGCGUGUAGGCGGUCCGGUAAGUCCGUUGUGAAAGUCAGGGGCUCAACCCUUGAAUGCCGGCGGAUACUGUCGGGCUAGAGUCCGGAAGAGGCGAGUGGAAUUCCCGGUGUAGCGGUGAAAUGCGCAGAUAUCGGGAGGAACACCUAUGGCGAAGGCAGCUCGCUGGGACGGCACUGACGCUGAGACGCGAAAGCGUGGGGAGCAAACAGG